rnacentral:snRNA from 1 species
GGAUAUGAGGGCGAUCUGGCUGCGACAUCUGUCACCCCAUUGAUCUCCAGGGUUGGUUGGGCUGAUCUCGCUGGCUAGGCAGGUGUCCCCUUCCUCCCUCACCACUCCAGGUGCGUCCCUCCCAAAGCUGGGUGUUCAGUGGAAGACGACGCUCUUCCCCGAUAGAGGAGGACCGUUCUUCUCAGUCAAAGGUGUACAGGUAGCUGUGCUGCCCUGCCAGAACCUCCCCAAAAGCUCUCAAGGUCAUUUACUCUUUACAAAAGUACUCAAAACUUUGCCAAGUUAUUUCACACUAUUCUCACAACAAGAGGUAAUUGGG